UAUCUAUGGUCACACGAAUGGAAAAAUGUAUGGUACACUAGAACACUUUUAGUCCGCGGCCUAUCCAUUUACCACCUAUUUUGCUUAGUUCAAUAUAUACCGAUACGGACAAUGUAAUACGGAAAUAAAGGUAAAAAAAUGAGAAAUUAGCACGAGCAAUGCCGGACGCGAGACAGCCAGUAUAUAAUUAUGUGUAUAAUAUAUUAUUUUCGAAUAUAAAAAAUUGUUCAGAAAAUCAACACGCUCUAACAUAUUGUAUUUUUUAACGCUCACACGAUUCAGUAUAGGUAUAGGCGUGUGAGCUUUUUUCCCUAUUUAUGGUGAAACAAGCAGGUAUUUUAUGUACGU